rnacentral:rRNA from 1 species
CGCGUAGGCGGCCGUACAAGUUGGAUGUGAAAGCCCUGGGCUCAACCCAGGAUGUGCAUUCAAAACUGUACGGCUUGAAUCUCGGAGGGGGUCAGAGAAUUCCCGGUGUAGAGGUGAAAUUCGUAGAUAUCGGGAGGAACACCAGUGGCGAAGGCGCUGACCUGGACGAUGAUUGACGCUGAGGCGCGAAAGCGUGGGGAGCAAACA